rnacentral:rRNA from 1 species
GACGAACGCUGGCGGCGUGCUUAACACAUGCAAGUCGAACGGAAAGGCCCUGCUUUUGUGGGGUGCUCGAGUGGCGAAGGGGUGAGUAACACGUGAGUAACCUGUACUUGACUUUGGGGUAACUUCAGGAAACACGGGCUCAUACCGGAUAGGAUCUACUGCUGCGUGGUGGGGGUUGGAAAGAUUCGGCGGUUGGGGCUGGACUCGCGGCUUAUCAGCUUGUUGGUGGGGUAGUGGCUUACCAAGGCUAUGACGGGUAGCCGGCCUGAGAGGGUGACCGGCCACAUGGGGACUGAGAGACGGCCCAGACUCCUACGGGAGGCAGCAGUGGGGAAUAUUGCACAAUGGGCGGACGCCUGAUGCAGCAACGCCGCGUGCGGGAUGACGGCCUUCGGGUGGUAAACCGCUUUCGCCUGUGACGAAGCGUGAGUGACGGUAAUGGGUAAAGAAGCACCGGCUAACUACGUG